rnacentral:rRNA from 1 species
GGCAACGAUCCGUAGCUGUUUGAGGGACGACCAGCCACCCUGGGAAUGAGACACGGCCCAGAUUCUACGGGAGCAGCAGUGGGAAUUUGGACAAUGGGGAAACCCUGAUCCAGCCAUCCCGCGUGUAUGAUGAAGGCCUUCGGGUUGUAAAGUACUUUUGGCAGAGAAGAAAAGGUAUCCCCUAAUACGGGAUACUGCUGACGGUAUCUGCAGAAUAAGCACCGGCUAACUACGUGCCAGCAGCCGCGGUAAUACGUAGGGUGCAAGCGUUAAUCGGAAUUACUGGGCGUAAAGCGUGUGUAGGCGGUUCGGAAAGAAAGAUGUGAAAUCCCAGGGCUCAACCUUGGAACUGCAUUUUUAACUGCCGAGCUAGAGUAUGUCAGAGGGGGGUAGAAUUCCACGUGUAGCAGUGAAAUGCGUAGAUAUGUGGAGGAAUACCGAUGGCGAAGGCAGCCCCCUGGGAUAAUACUGACGCUCAGACACGAAAGCGUGGGGAGCAAACAGGAUUAGAUACCCUGGUAGUCCACGCCCUAAACGAUGUCAACUAGCUGUUGGGGCCGUUAGGCCUUAGUAGCGCAGCUAACGCGUGAAGUUGACCGCCUGGGGAGUACGGUCGCAAGAUUAAAACUCAAAGGAAUUGACGGGGACCCGCACAAGCGGUGGAUGAUGUGGAUUAAUUCGAUGCAACGCGAAAAACCUUACCUACCCUUGACAUGUCUGGAAAGCCGAAGAGAUUUGGCCGUGCUCGCAAGAGAACCGGAACACAGGUGCUGCAUGGCUGUCGUCAGCUCGUGUCGUGAGAUGUUGGGUUAAGUCCCGCAACGAGCGCAACCCUUGUCAUUAGUUGCUACGCAAGAGCACUCUAAUGAGACUGCCGGUGACAAACCGGAGGAAGGUGGGGAUGACGUCAAGUCCUCAUGGCCCUUAUGGGUAGGGCUUCACACGUCAUACAAUGGUCGGGACAGAGGGUCGCCAACCCGCGAGGGGGAGCCAAUCUCAGAAACCCGAUCGUAGUCCGGAUCGCAGUCUGCAACUCGACUGCGUGAAGUCGGAAUCGCUAGUAAUCGCGGAUCAGAAUGUCGCGGUGAAUACGUUCCCGGGUCUUGUACACACCGCCCGUCACACCAUGGGAGUGGGUUUCACCAGAAGUAGGUAGCCUAACCGUAAGGAGGGCGCUAC